AUUGAACGCUGGCGGCAGGCUUAACACAUGCAAGUCGAGCGGGGUGAUGGUGCUUGCACUAUCACUUAGCGGCGGACGGGUGAGUAAUGCUUAGGAAUCUGCCUAUUAGUGGGGGACAACAUCUCGAAAGGGAUGCUAAUACCGCAUAUGUCCUACGGGAGAAAGCUGGGGAUCACUUGUGAUGUUGCGCUAAUAGAUGAGCCAAAGUAGGAUUAGCUAGUUGGUGGGGUAAAGGCCUACCAAGGCGACGAUCUGUAGCGGGUCUGUGAGGCUGAUCCGCCACACUGGGACUGAGACACGGCCCAGACUCCUACGGGAGGCAGCAGUGGGGAAUAUUGGACAAUGGGGGGAACCCUGAUCCAGCCAUGCCGCGUGUGUGAAGAAGGCCUUAUGGUUGUAAAGCACUUUAAGCGAGGAGGAGGCUCUUUUGGUUAAUACCCAAGAUGAGUGGACGUUACUCGCAGAAUAAGCACCGGCUAACUCUGUGCCAGCCGCCGCCGUAA
rnacentral:rRNA from 1 species